rnacentral:tRNA from 1 species
GGAAUAUGAAAUCGAAUGAAAGCUGCUAACUUUUUAUUUUAAUGGUUUACACCCAUUAAUAUUCCU